UCUGAGGAAAGAUUGAGUUGAGUAAGUGAAACUAGAUGGCUCUUUGCAAAUCAACCCGAUGAACAGUGAAGGCGGGUGGGGUGGGGGUGGGGGGGUGAUACCGGAGGAGAUCUUGCAGAUGUAGGGUUUGGCUUGGUCACACCGGGUGUCGUUCCAAGUGCCGUGAAACAAUGGCGACCCUCGCAUGCUGACACAACCCUCGUCUUUUAGGUUGUCGGGCUCUCCGGGACCCCACUGAGUGAAGAAUACCGGCCAGCCAUCUGUCCAGGCGAAGGAGCCAUCAUCCUGCAAGACCAGAUUACACGAGACUAGAGUAGUAUUAAAAAAAAAACAGUGCAUGUGAAUACAUGUGUGCUAUUUGUAGCUAUUUAUUUGUGGUCUCCCCGUCCCGCCUGACACAGCACCUUGAGCUUCAGUCCGAUCCAGGCAUCAGCUUUUCCCUGCAGGACCACUCCGGCGACAAAGGCCUGGUCGUAGCUCAUGUCGAUGCUAGCCAGGUUGGCGCCCUGCUGCUCGCAAGCCUUCUGAGCUGCAUCCCAGGUCGCCGGCUCCUCCACCAGCUUGUAGCAGUUCAAGUACCAGGAUAUGUAGCCGGCGGGACAGGGGCUGCUUGUAGGAUGAGGCGGCGUGAUACUGCUCGCUGAGGUGGAACCCGCAGAACAGAUGCUCCUGGUAACAACGGCAGGAUUUUCAAAGUCAUUGCGAUGACAGGCGCACAGCCGAAAGGAGUCAUGGGUAGCAUAUUCUCACCGUCCCCCCUGCGUUGUUGGGCUCUUUGCCGUUCCAGUUGGUGUAGAGGACUGGGCUCACGCCAUCGCUCCAGGCGUACUGAUUCUCCACCAGGAUGUCGGACAAACCGAUCCACGUGGGAAGCUCCAUGUCUUUCAGCCUGCAACGAAAAUGCUUCCUGACAACCAAAUCGUACGUGUAAGGAAGAGUGGUGUUCACCGCGGUGUGAGUUCGUGAGAUCCACCUGGUCCUGAUGUUGGCGGCUGGGGAGGAGGCCCCUGGCCCUUGGCUGCAGGGAUGCCAUGAAUUCAUUGGUGGCUGUGCAGAAGUCGUCUUUGAGUUUUCCCGCUUCUGUGUGCAUCGGACCUUCCAGGUGAACGCAGUCCUCGUUGUUCUGCCAGUUGUCCGGCUGGUUUGGUGCCCACGGGAGGAGGUUCUGUGCAAAACAUUUGGAAUGUCGCUCACUUUUAAUACGAUGAUUAUUUUUUGCAUUUCAAGACGUGUUUUCUGAAUUUCUUUCAAAUUAAAAACUUUUCGGGGACACUACGUGUAGGUGUUCCACUUACUGUAGCUGUUCCGUCAGUGUACACAAACUGGCUUUCGAUAUUAAUAUCGUUGAGUCCCACCCACGCCUUUCCCGGCAUGUGGGCUUCAGGGGGGAAACAAAUAAAAAAAAAGUGCGAACAUUAGCUUUUUCGAAUUACAGAUCAAAGCUUGAAGGAUGUUAUGGGAUGAUUCUGACGUUGCAACGAAUCCCCAAGUGGACAGUUAGUCUCACCAAUCAAGAAGCUGAGCUCUUCCUGCGAGUGAAAGCUGACGAGGUGACCUUGUUGUGCGACGCAGUAAGUCUCUGCAUCUUGCCAUGUUUUCACCAGUUCCCCCUCGAAAUGGUAGCAAAAGUCACCAUACAGCAAAUAGCCGGGGUCGCAGUGGGAAGCUAAGUGGAGAAACAUUUAUUACAAAACCUUGAAGGUAUUGACGAUAAGGGGAGCGGAGAUGGGGGGGGGGGGGGGUCAACUGUGAGACUCACUCGGCGCUGGAGUCGGUUUGGGGUUUUGACCUCCCGUCAUCUCACAAAUGUAACCGUGCUUCUUGAAGCAGCUGCUGGUUUCCCAUUUUCCUUCAUAAUUUCCUUUUUGGGGUCAACAACAUAUACGUGUUGGGGCUUGUGAUUUCAUUUGGUAGUCGGUUUUAGGGUAAGGCGCACGCUACCUGUGAAGAUCAUUCCGCAGUCCCAGAUGUUUGCAGUGUUUCUAGGCCAACCGGGUCCGUAGUUUGUGUAGUUAACGGGGGUUUUGUCCACCCAGUGGAAUGUCCCAUCCUGGUCCUUAUCUGGAACACCAAUUAUGGUUAAAUGUUCAGUAUAUGCGAUUCAUUGACAAAGCCGACGCGUCCAAAAUUUGAAAAUACCAUUUGGUCCCAGGACUGAAACUAGUCAACUGAAAUGGCUUACAGCACCUUGCUUUGGUCAAUCAGCCAAAACCUAUUUUGGGUCCAAAGUUUGGCGCCGUUUGCUAUCUAUUACUCAAAAACUGGAUGGAUGGAGAAAAAAAUCAAAUGGUGUACCUGAUAAACCAAUCCAGAUGUCAGGAACAUCCACUUGGUGAAAGUCAGGAAGUUUCCCGUUAAUGAAGAAUUGUUCAUCUUGGCUGCAAGAAAAACAAAUAAAGGUUGUGUAGGUUAAAAUGGUGACCACAAAAUCCAUUCAAAGUUGCAGAGGUUAAAAUACCACUGCCAGAAGUGCCCACCCAACCCCCAAUAAGUAUUAUUGUUGCAUACGAAAAUAAGACGAUUGUAACAACAACAUUAGUUCCAUUUUUACACUUUAUAUACAUAGGAGCGAGGAACCUUAAGACGAUAAGCCAUCUUACCCCCCCGAAGCUGCAAUAGUGUCCAGAGUUUACCUGUUGAUGACGAGCAGGUGAGCCCCCUCAUUGGAGCAUGUGGCGAAGGCCUCGUACCAGGUGGUCAGUAGGUCAGUGUUGCUGACUAGCCAGUAGCAGCUUCCGGAAAAACUCUGCCAUCCGGCAGGGCAGAUGGCUGAAGCGGGGAUGCGAUGAUUGCGCGUUUCUCAUAUUUCAAGUGCAGAUAAAUGACGGCGUCGCUCACUGUUCACUGGCCGUUUGCACAUGUACGGACGCUCCUGACGGCAUAGGUGUGACCUCCACUUGCCAAACUCAUCAGAGCGAUCUUUGAUGAUCGCCGUGCAGGAGCCCACUUCGCCGUUGCUGUUGGGAGACGUUGCGGAAAGCGGGGUGUACUUAUUCGGGUAAGCAGGCCUAAUUGGAGCUUGAUGUCUGUCCUAUGCAAUUAUCAUAUGGUGUUGGGUCUUAGUGUUUUUUUUUUCCCCCCUUCCCGUUCCUGAUCUGAUGAUUUAACGGUCGGAGCAGAAGACUGGAAAUUCACAAUGCAACAAUGUGAUUUUCUUACAUUUUGGGUUCACCCGGUGCCCAGUUGGUGUAGUUUAUCGGCAGGGCGUCGGACCAGUUCAUGUGAACGCUUCCUUCUUGGAGCUCACACGAGAUCUUAUUGCAUUUCUGCGAAAAACCAAUCCAGGUUCUCAAUCCAGUACCUGGAAUAGUUGCCACGGUUGCAAGCGAUUUUUCUCUUACCAGAUUGGAGAGUCCGAUCCAGAGGUCGAUCCGGAAAGGAUCCAGCAACCCGGUCACAUACAGCUCUUCCCGCUCGGAGGUGAUGGAGACGAGGUCGCCGCCCUCCAUGAUGCAGUCGUGACGGGCCGCCGACCAGCUCUUGGCGGUUCCCGACUUCAGCUUGUAGCAGUUGGAGCUGUACCGGUCCCACCCAUUGCUCAGAUCGCAGUGUGGCCCCGGAUUGGCUAGGAGCACAUUUUCAGGGUUUUGUCUGGCUAAGUGGUGGAAGUUCAGGAGCCAGAAAGGCCUUUGGUAGGACUAAGCACUACAGGUAGCACUGGGCUACUUUUACAAACCAUUUAGCCUCUGAGUUGCCAUGCCAAUUUAAUUUGCUUAUGUUCUUCAAAAUCAGUCACGCUAACCAAAGGAAGGUUUCUCAGGAAAAUACAGAAUCUGGAGGGGCCUGUCCUCUUAGUAUUUGGUGAGCAUUGUCGCGCUGCAGCUGUAUUGCAGCAAAAUGCAGAUAAUGGACUCACAGUUGGCAUGCUUGCAGAUGUAUUUCCUCUUGACGUCGCAGUUCUCAUCAUUCCAGCGACCAGAGCUGCCGCCCACCACUUGACCACAAUCCUCACCCGGCUCGUCACCCCAGUUGUCAGGCUGACCUUGAACCCAGUACCUGGUGAAAAGAAAUAUUGAGCCAUUGAAAUCUACUGGGACCAGGAGGAAUAAUCUAGACUGAGCAAUUCUACUGGUUCUUGUUGGCCCAUGUCAUGACCUGAUUUUAACGCUUCCUGAUUGAUACAUACGAUAUGUAUUGUAUGAAAGGACUCCCAUCCGUCCACUCCCACACGCCCUCUGUGAUUCCGUCUGUCAAGCCGAUCCAGAAGAUCUCUGUGCCGAUUUGCGUCCUGACCCACAACUGCAAGAAAUGGUCCAUGGAAAUUAACACAGAACAAAUGACCGAGCGGCAGAGGCGACAAAACCACUCACACUUUGAACUUGCUGAGAUGGACAUAUCCAAAUUAUUUAAAAAAAACGAAACAAAAGAUUUACUGUAGGUCAAAGUACAAGAGAAUACAGUGACAAAAUUGUUGACUGCUUUACUUCAUAUCACAGUUUAACGAUGUAGCGCCUCACCCUCUCGUGGAUGUCCUGAAUGCUCAUCAAGUUGCUAUUUUGUGAUAAACAGAAGGUGUUAGCCUCCCACCACGUCAUUGUGUCAGCGGAGAAGUAGUAACAUUUGUGGUCGUUCUCUCGCCAGCCUGCUUGGCAUUGACACUGUCCUGGAAAUACAAUACAAAUACAGGUCUUUGCCAUCUUGAUAAAUGUGACAAACAGCAAUACGUGUGUGACUAUUUCUAUUAUUAUAUUCUGGAGAAGCCACACAAAUCGGCGAAUAGAUAAUUGAACUGGUUGAAAGUGCGAAAAUAAGUUGAAUCAAUUGUUGUUGAAAUUGUGACUCGUGUACAGUACAAAGAGAUUGUCGUAGAAAUGCACAAACUGUAAAAGUCUCAUGACUUGAGCGCCUCACAAUGAAUUUUAGAUAAUGUUUAACUCCCCCAUUUUCAUUAUUACGUCACAUGAUCGUAAUGAUCCCAAGCAUGUUUUGGGGGAUGAACAUCAAACACUAGUUUCAUCUAAAAUAAACAAUGAAUGAAUGAAUGAAUGAAUAUUUCAGAAUGCAAACCUUAAAAUUACUUUUUACUUUUAUUUACUUAAAAAAACCCCAAACUAUGAAAAUAAAUAGACACAUCUUUGUAUGCCUUGAGCAUUUUUUUAAUGCGAAACAAAACAAAAACGUGACGGGGUGAUACAAUAAGAGUACAGGUAUUAAAUUAUGGCGGAAGUGACGCAACAGCGCACAGUCUGGCACCAGCUUCCCGCCGUAGCUCAGGCAAAGCUAACAAGGAAGUCCCAUGGUAAGGCCAAUGUUAGUAAUGGUCCGGAUUCAUUUAUAAUUUUAUGACAAUAUUCAACUUUAUUAUUUUUUUUCUACUGUGUGGUGUGUUUCAUUAGUUCCCCGAUUUGUUCUGAGCCCACAUAGCUUUUUAUAUCGUUAUUUAAAACCUAUUUUGACGAGUGAAGGUUUUUACUGGUUGAGUUGACAGAAAUUGCUUGUCUUUUGCGCAGUUAUUUCCGAGACCGAAACCCAAUGCGACUUCACCCAUCCCUCCUGCCAUACUGUGUUGCAGGUAAUGUUUGUUUGUGAGUUCGCAGUUCGUCGCGGCCGCCAUUAUUGUUCGUUGCAGCCGUUUCUACUAAGUGUGAUGCGUUUAGUGAAAUCUUGUAAAAAACAUAACUCACCGAGGUGUCUGGUGUUAUUGAGACCUCAUAGUUGUGACCCUCCGUCACACAUGCAUAUAUUUCUUCCCGAUAUGAAGGAAAAACAUUUGCGUGGAUGACGAUGCAUUUCAUUUAAUUCAUGUCACAAAUAAUGCCGCGUGGUUGAAUGUUUUGAAUUUGAUGAUUGGCUGACCCCAAACAUAAACCCACUUAUUUACCGAGAGCAAGAAAAGUGGCCAAACAGACGAUCACAAACAUAAACCCAAUUAAAACUUACCGAGAGCAAGAAAAGCGGCCAAACAGACGAUCAGCAGCACAAGUGAUCUUCUCGCUCUACUCUUCAUCUUUGACUUGUUUUCUUGAUGCUCGCCUUUGUCGCAUACUGUGGAGGCUGAUGCUUCUUCUGAGCUCAAUGUGUAAUUUGUCUGAAGGUUAUCAAACUUCUCAUUUGCUUCGCGCGCCCAAAGAGUUCAAAGUGUACAAGCAGUAAAGCAUGCACAUCUCAUCAUGAGUCAUACAUGUUAGGGUGUAAAAUUUAAAGGGCACAAAAUACUGUAAUGCAAAAUAAACACGUUUAUUGCGAUUAAAAGACUGAUUUGAAAUGGGAUUUUUCUUGAUACAUUUUAUACAUGCUGAAUAAACAUGCCAAAAAGUGUUCCAACUGUUUUUACAUUUCAGUUUUCCUGAUAUUUUGAAAGUUGUGUGGUCAAUGACUUUUUUUUUUAUUUGUUCCACUUCACAAAGUCCAGCACUUUAUAACAAGCGCAUGUCUUUACUUCAAUAAACGGUCACUUUUUAACUUUA